GUCCCUGUAGCUCAGUGGAUAGAGCGCCAGCCUCCGGAGCUGGAAGCGGCGGUUCGAGUCCGCCCAGGGACG
rnacentral:tRNA from 1 species